CUCUCUGCGGAAGCCAGCCACCGCUCUCCAAGGACUCUCGAGCAGCUCCAUCUACAGAUUCACAUGGAGAAGAAUUAAGGGUUCCUGCCAAUCACCAGCACCACUUUGCCAGCCUUGUAAGUGGGCCACCUUGGAAUUGGAGCCUCCAGUUCCUACUGACAUCUGACUGCAACAUCAUGAGAGACCCUGAGUUUGAACCACCCAGCUGAGCUGCUUCUGAGCUAACCCACUGAAACCGUGAAAGUACCUGAAUGAAACAACACCCAGUAGCCACUAGCACACCUAGCUCCCAGAUCUGUUUUUGAUGCCAUUCUUCAGUAAAAGGAAGCAAGGCUGCUUGGAGAAAUUGCUAUCAAGGACUGGGGUAGAAAAUAUACAAGAUGAAAUUGGAGCAUCUUGUAGUGCUUGAAAACAGUUGGCAUCUGUGUGAAGAUGUGAAUGGAGGAGGCAGAGUAGGCAGUGAGUGCCGCAGCCACAGCUUGUGUUCUCUGCAGCCCUGGCACAGAAGAUAGGAACACUCAUGGGGGAUGCGGCCACUGUGAUGUCUUCCCACACAAGAAGUGCCAAGUGCUUUUCUCAUGCUUUUCUGGAUUGUCCCAUGGUGGACGAGUCAGCAGGAGUGAGAUGGAGCAGCACAGUAGAGGGGCCAGGAUAUCGUUGUACAUAUUCUCAGCUAAGUGAGCACCAAUAGAGGAGAGGGAGAGUCUCAUGGAAGUUCCUUCUAAGCCUUUGGCUCUUUUUACCUUCAACAAGGUUCCUUAGAUCCUGGGAUGAGGAGGUGGACCAGCAGAAGGUGGGCUUGUGAAGGCAGCCCGGGGUCCAAAUCCUCCUGGCUCUUCAGCUUAGCGGGAUGUCACCUUCAGCGUCUGAAAGCUGGGUUUGAUGCGUCUGGAAAGGCGUCCCUGACAGGCGUCGUUGCCAGGAGCCCCUAGUGCCACCAGCAGCCAGCAGGGGAGGGCGUCCUCUGCCCGCUCACUUCUGACCCUUCUCUCGUUGCACCCGGAACAUGGUGCAGCUGGGAGCAGCCUGGGCUGCGCGGAAGGCUCAGAUUUGGGGACGGCCCUUGCCAGUGACUGUGAGCUGGGGUGUCUUGGAAACUCCCAGUCUCAGCUUCUCCAUUUAUAAGAUGAGAAUGAUCAUACCAGACUCAGGCAAGGUUGUUUGUGCAUUAGUGAAAUCAGACGUAUUAAAUAAAGUACCACAUUG
rnacentral:lncRNA from 1 species